rnacentral:rRNA from 1 species
AGGUGAACCUGCGGAAGGAUCAUUGUCGAAUCGAACCGAAGAACGACCCGCGAAUCGUCAUUUGCGUAUCGGNAGAGAGCCCGCGAGCACCUAACGCUCGCGCGGCUCGCGUCGUGACGGCGUGGGCCUUCCCGAGGCCCGCGUCGUGCCGGCGGACAAACAACGUCAGCACGGAUCGUGCCAAGGAGCUUCAUGGAGAGAAUCGCCGUCCCACGCCCCUGACUGUCCCGGACGCGGGACGGGGGGCGGGGGGAUACGUGCGAUCUCUGCUCGAGUCUAAAUGACUCUCGGCAACGGAUAUCUCGGCUCUUGCAUCGAUGAAGAACGUAGCGAAAUGCGAUACUUGGUGUGAAUUGCAGAAUCCCGCGAACCAUCAAUUCUUUGAACGCAAGUUGCGCCCGAAGCCAUUCGGCCGAGGGCACGCCUGCCUGGGUGUCGUGAAUCCCCUUGCCCCUGGGCACCCGCACCGGCGGGGAUAUAUGCUCGGGCGCAGAGUAUGGUCUCCCGUGGGAUCGGCGUGCUCGUCACGUCGAGGCGCGGUUGGCCGAAAAUCGAGCAUGGCGGCGACGGGCUCCACGGCGUUCGGUGGAUCGAAUGAGAUUGGCUGCGCCGUGGGCUCGUCAUGCGGCGGGCUCAGGACUUCGACAAUCCCAGAGAGCGAUCCCAGGUCAGGCGGGGCCACCCGCUGAGUUUAAG